rnacentral:rRNA from 1 species
UACGUAGGUGGCAAGCGUUGUCCGGAUUUAUUGGGCGUAAAGGGGGCGCAGGCGGUUCCUUAAGUCUGAUGUGAAAACCCACGGCUCAACCGUGGAAGGUCAUUGGAAACUGGGGAACUUGAGUGCAGAAGAGGAGAGUGGAAUUCCUAGUGUAGCGGUGAAAUGCGUAGAGAUUAGGAGGAACACCAGUGGCGAAGGCGGCUUUUUGGCCUGUAACUGACACUGAGGCGCGAAAGCGUGGGGAGCAAACAGG